rnacentral:rRNA from 1 species
GAUUAGAUAGUUGGUGAGGUAAAGGCUCACCAAGUCGACGAUCGUUAGCUGGUCUGAGAGAAUGACCAGCCAGACUGGAACUGAGACMCGGUCCAGACUCCUACGGGAGGCAGCAGUGAGGAAUCUUCCACAAUGGGGGCAACCYUGAUGGAGCAACGCCGCGUGCAGGAUGAAGGCCUUCGGGUUGUAAASUGCUUUUAUAAGUGAAGAAUAUGMCGGUAACUUAUGAAUAAGGAUCGGCUAACUACGUGCCAGCAKCCGCGGUCAUACGUAGGAUCCGAGCGUUAUCCGGAGUGACUGGGCGUAAAGAGUUGCGUAGGYGGUUAGUAAAGUGAAUAGUGAAAUCUGGUGGCUCAACCAUACAGGCUAUUAUUCAAACUCACUAACUCGAGAGUGGUAGAGGUAACUGGAAUUUCUUGUGUAGGAGUGAAAUCCGUAGAUAUAAGAAGGWACACCAAUGGCGUAGGCAGGUUACUGGACC